rnacentral:rRNA from 1 species
UUGAACGCUGGCGGCAGGCUUAACACAUGCAAGUCGAGCGGGGGAAGGUAGCUUGCUACCGGACCUAGCGGCGGACGGGUGAGUAAUGCUUAGGAAUCUGCCUAUUAGUGGGGGACAACAUCUCGAAAGGGAUGCUAAUACCGCAUACGUCCUACGGGAGAAAGCAGGGGAUCUUCGGACCUUGCGCUAAUAGAUGAGCCUAAGUCGGAUUAGCUAGUUGGUGGGGUAAAGGCCUACCAAGGCGACGAUCUGUAGCGGGUCUGAGAGGAUGAUCCGCCACACUGGGACUGAGACACGGCCCAGACUCCUACGGGAGGCAGCAGUGGGGAAUAUUGGACAAUGGGGGGAACCCUGAUCCAGCCAUGCCGCGUGUGUGAAGAAGGCCUUAUGGUUGUAAAGCACUUUAAGCGAGGAGGAGGCUACUUUAGUUAAUACCUAGAGAUAGUGGACGUUACUCGCAGAAUAAGCACCGGCUAACUCUGUGCCAGCAGCCGCGGUAAUACAGAGGGUGCGAGCGUUAAUCGGAUCUACUGGGCGUAAAGCGUGCGUAGGCGGCUUAUUAAGUCGGAUGUGAAAUCCCCGAGCUUAACUUGGGAAUUGCAUUCGAUACUGGUGAGCUAGAGUAUGGGAGAGGAUGGUAGAAUUCCAGGUGUAGCGGUGAAAUGCGUCGAGAUCUGGAGGAAUACCGAUGGCGAAAGCAGCCAUCUGGCCUAAUACUGACGC